AGCGAACGCUGGCGGCAGGCUUAACACAUGCAAGUCGAGCGGGCAUCCUUGUGGUGUCAGCGGCAGACGGGUGAGUAACGCGUGGGAACGUGCCCUUCGGUUCGGAAUAACUCAGGGAAACUUGAGCUAAUACCGGAUACGUGCGAGAGCAGAAAGGUUUAUCUGCCGAAGGAUCGGCCCGCGUCUGAUUAGCUAGUUGGUGAGGUUACGGCUCACCAAGGCGACGAUCAGUAGCUGGUCUGAGAGGAUGAUCAGCCACACUGGGACUGAGACACGGCCCAGACUCCUACGGGAGGCAGCAGUGGGGAAUAUUGGACAAUGGGGGCAACACUGAUCCAGCCAUGCCGCGUGAGUGAUGACGGCCUUAGGGUUGUAAAGCUCUUUUCUCCGGGACGAUAAUGACGGUACCGGAGGAAUAAGCCCCGGCUAACUUCGUG
rnacentral:rRNA from 1 species